UCCAGCAGGUUGGAAACACUCUAAUUUUAGAUUUUGCAAAGAAACUUUUCAGAGCCUGUUGAAGAUUACAAAGAAAAACUGAAUAUCCCUAGAUUAAAAACUAGAAAGAAGCUCUCCAUGAAACUGCUUUGUGAUAUGUGGAUUCAUCUCAAAGAUUUAAACCUCUCCUUUGAUUUGCAGGUUGGAAAUAUAUUUUUGGAGAAUCUGUGAAGGGUCAUCUGGGAGCCCAUUGUGGCCUAUGCAGAAAACCUGAAUAUCCCCAGAUAAAAACUAGGAAGAAGCUGUUUGUGAAACGAUUUUCUUAUGUGUGCCUUCAUCUAACAGAGUUAAAACUUUCUUUUAAUUCAUCAGGUUUAAAACAUUCCUUUUGAAUAAUCCAUGAAGGGACAUUUGUUAGCCCAUUAAGGCCUGUGUGGAACUAAAAAGGAGCUACCUGUGAAACUGCUUUGUAACGUGUGGAUU
rnacentral:lncRNA from 1 species